rnacentral:rRNA from 1 species
CUCCGGGGGUAGAGCACUGUUUCGGCAAGGGGGUCAUCCCGACUUACCAACCCGAUGCAAACUGCGAAUACCGGAGAAUGUUAUCACGGGAGACACACGGCGGGUGCUAACGUCCGUCGUGAAGAGGGAAACAACCCAGACCGCCAGCUAAGGUCCCAAAGUCAUGGUUAAGUGGGAAACGAUGUGGGAAGGCCCAGACAGCCAGGAUGUUGGCUUAGAAGCAGCCAUCAUUUAAAGAAAGCGUAAUAGCUCACUGGUCGAGUCGGCCUGCGCGGAAGAUGUAACGGGGCUAAACCAUGCACCGAAGCUGCGGCAGCGACGCUGAUGCGUUGUUGGGUAGGGGAGCGUUCUGUAAGCCUGUGAAGGUGUGCUGUGAGGCAUGCUGGAGGUAUCAGAAGUGCGAAUGCUGACAUAAGUAACGAUAAAGCGGGUGAAAAGCCCGCUCGCCGGAAGACCAAGGGUUCCUGUCCAACGUUAAUCGGGGCAGGGUGAGUCGACCCCUAAGGCGAGGCCGAAAGGCGUAGUCGAUGGGAAACAGGUUAAUAUUCCUGUACUUGGUGUUACUGCGAAGGGGGGACGGAGAAGGCUAUGUUGGCCGGGCGACGGUUGUCCCGGUUUAAGCGUGUAGGCUGGUUUUCCAGGCAAAUCCGGAAAACUAAGGCUGAGGCGUGAUGACGAGGCACUACGGUGCUGAAGCAACAAAUGCCCUGCUUCCAGGAAAAGCCUCUAAGCAUCAGGUAACAUCAAAUCGUACCCCAAACCGACACAGGUGGUCAGGUAGAGAAUACCAAGGCGCUUGAGAGAACUCGGGUGAAGGAACUAGGCAAAAUGGUGCCGUAACUUCGGGAGAAGGCACGCUGAUAUGUAGGUGAAGUCCCUCGCGGAUGGAGCUGAAAUCAGUCGAAGAUACCAGCUGGCUGCAACUGUUUAUUAAAAACACAGCACUGUGCAAACACGAAAGUGGACGUAUACGGUGUGACGCCUGCCCGGUGCCGGAAGGUUAAUUGAUGGGGUCAGCGCAAGCGAAGCUCUUGAUCGAAGCCCCGGUAAACGGCGGCCGUAACUAUAACGGUCCUAAGGUAGCGAAAUUCCUUGUCGGGUAAGUUCCGACCUGCACGAAUGGCGUAAUGAUGGCCAGGCUGUCUCCACCCGAGACUCAGUGAAAUUGAACUCGCUGUGAAGAUGCAGUGUACCCGCGGCAAGACGGAAAGACCCCGUGAACCUUUACUAUAGCUUGACACUGAACAUUGAGCCUUGAUGUGUAGGAUAGGUGGGAGGCUUUGAAGUGUGGACGCCAGUCUGCAUGGAGCCGACCUUGAAAUACCACCCUUUAAUGUUUGAUGUUCUAACGUUGACCCGUAAUCCGGGUUGCGGACAGUGUCUGGUGGGUAGUUUGACUGGGGCGGUCUCCUCCUAAAGAGUAACGGAGGAGCACGAAGGUUGGCUAAUCCUGGUCGGACAUCAGGAGGUUAGUGCAAUGGCAUAAGCCAGCUUGACUGCGAGCGUGACGGCGCGAGCAGGUGCGAAAGCAGGUCAUAGUGAUCCGGUGGUUCUGAAUGGAAGGGCCAUCGCUCAACGGAUAAAAGGUACUCCGGGGAUAACAGGCUGAUACCGCCCAAGAGUUCAUAUCGACGGCGGUGUUUGGCACCUCGAUGUCGGCUCAUCACAUCCUGGGGCUGAAGUAGGUCCCAAGGGUAUGGCUGUUCGCCAUUUAAAGUGGUACGCGAGCUGGGUUUAGAACGUCGUGAGACAGUUCGGUCCCUAUCUGCCGUGGGCGCUGGAGAACUGAGGGGGGCUGCUCCUAGUACGAGAGGACCGGAGUGGACGCAUCACUGGUGUUCGGGUUGUCAUGCCAAUGGCACUGCCCGGUAGCUAAAUGCGGAAGAGAUAAGUGCUGAAAGCAUCUAAGCACGAAACUUGCCCCGAGAUGAGUUCUCCCUGACUCCUUGAGAGUCCUGAAGGAACGUUGAAG